rnacentral:rRNA from 1 species
AUUGAACGCUGGCGGCAUGCUUUACACGUGCAAGUCGAACGGUAACAGGCCGCAAGGUGCUGACGAGUGGCGAACGGGUGAGUAAUGCAUCGGAGCGUGCCCAGUCGUGGGGGAUAACGCAGCGAAAGCUGUGCUAAUACCGCAUACGAUCUAUGGAUGAAAGCGGGGGACCGUAAGGCCUCGCGCGAUUGGAGCGGCCGAUGUCAGAUUAGGUCGUUGGUGGGGGAAAGGCCUACCAAGCCGACGAUCUGUAGCUGGUCUGAGAGGACGACCAGCCACACUGGGACGGAGACACGGCCCAUACUCCUACGGGAGGCAGCAGUGGGGAAUUUUGGACAAUGGGCGCAAGCCUGAUCCAGCAAUGCCGCGUGCAGGAAGAAGGCCUUCGGGUUGUAAACUGCUUUUGUACGGAACGAAACGGCCUGGGUUAAUACCCUGGGCUAAUGACGGUACCGUAAGAAUAAGCACCGGCUAACUACGUGCCAGCAGCCGCCGUAACAC